ensembl:snRNA U6 U6 spliceosomal RNA
GUCCUACUUUGACAGCACAUAUACCAAAAACUGAAUGAUAUAGACAAGAUUAGCAUGGCCCCUGCACAAGAAUGACUUACAGAUUCAUGUAGUGGUCCCUUUUUUG